UCGUGCAGCCGGGGCGUUAGCGGUGUCUUGUACCCACAAUCCGCUAUAGUGGGGGUGAUAAGCGACGGAGGGUCUGCGUUUGUGCAGCUGCCCUCUAUAAGUGGCGUUGAAGUUUGGGUCUCGCGCAAUAUGUGCCGUUGAACCGUGUCAGGACAGGAAUGUAGCAGCACUAAGACGGAUUUCAUAUGUGCCGUGAGGGUGCCUGGCGGAGUUAACUGUAGAGGUAACGUACAUGGGCAUAGGAUUCGAAGUCGUUUGCACGA
rnacentral:SRP_RNA from 1 species